rnacentral:rRNA from 1 species
UGCAGAAGAGGAGAGUGGAAUUCCACGUGUAGCGGUGAAAUGCGUAGAGAUGUGGAGGAACACCAGUGGCGAAGGCGACUCUCUGGUCUGUAACUGACGCUGAGGAGCGAAAGCGUGGGGAGCGAACAGGAUUAGAUACCCUGGUAGUCCACGCCGUAAACGAUGAGUGCUAAGUGUUAGGGGGUUUCCGCCCCUUAGUGCUGCAGCUAACGCAUUAAGCACUCCGCCUGGGGAGUACGGUCGCAAGACUGAAACUCAAAGGAAUUGACGGGGGCCCGCACAAGCGGUGGAGCAUGUGGUUUAAUUCGAAGCAACGCGAAGAACCUUACCAGGUCUUGACAUCCUCUGACAAUCCUAGAGAUAGGACGUCCCCUUCGGGGGCAGAGUGACAGGUGGUG